UACGAAGGGGGCUAGCGUUGCUCGGAAUCACUGGGCGUAAAGCGCACGUAGGCGGGUCCUUAAGUCAGGGGGGAAAUCCCGGAGCUCAACUCCGGAACUGCCUUUGAUACUGGGGAUCUUGAGUCCGGAAGAGGUGAGUGGAACUCCGAGUGUAGAGGUGAAAUUCGUAGAUAUUCGGAAGAACACCAGUGGCGAAGGCGGCUCACUGGUCCGGUACUGACGCUGAGGUGCGAAAGCGUGGGGAGCAAACAGG
rnacentral:rRNA from 1 species